AAAGGAGUGUCAUGCGAAAGGAACAGAAAAGAGCCGUCAGCCUUGGUGAAAGGGGAAGUUUUCUUUCCCGGUUGGUGCUUGGUUACUUCGUGAUUGGAAAAGAAGCCAACCUAGGUGGCUGAAGAGAUCAGAUUUUCGUAGUUGAACAGAUGAAGCUGACAAAGGACGACGUGAAGAUACUUUUCUCUGGGUCAUCGUGGGGGAUGAUGAUGAGCAGAUGGGAAAUACGCGGAGCACUGUGUUUGACAUGUAUGCCUAAGGAAGGGAACUCCCCGAUGGAUCAUGGCGUUAAUGUUUACAGGACAUUUCUUAUUUUUAGCUUUAGUGGUGUUUGCUUUCUCUACUUUUGAGGAAUCUGUGAGCAAUUACUCUGACUGGGCAGUUUUCACAGAUGAUAUAGAUCAGUUUAAGACGCAGAAAGUGCAAGAUUUCAAACCCAAUCACAAGCUGAAGAAAAGUAUGCUUCAUCCAAGUUUAUAUUUUGAUGCUGGAGAAAUCCAGGCAAUGAGACAGAAGUCUCGUACAAGCCAUUUGCAUCUCUUUCGAGCUAUCAGAAGUGCAGUAACAGUUAUGCUGUCCAACCCCACAUACUACCUACCUCCACCCAAGCAUGCUGAUUUUGCUGCCAAGUGGAAUGAAAUUUAUGGUAACAAUCUGCCUCCUUUAGCAUUGUACUGUUUGUUAAGCCCAGAAGACAAAGUCGCCUUUGAGUUUAUCUUGGAAUAUAUGGACAGGAUGGUUGGCUACAAAGACUGGCUAGUUGAGAAUGCACCAGGGGAUGAGGUUCCAGUUGGCCAUUCCUUAACAGGCUUUGCCACUGCCUUUGACUUUUUAUAUAACUUACUAGAUGAUCAUCGAAGACAAAAAUACCUGGAAAAAAUAUGGGCUGUUACUGAGGAGAUGUAUGAGUAUUCCAAGAAAGCUAAUGCGGUGGAUCCUAAUCCUUGUUAUUGCCUUGUGGUUUAUUGAGCUGCUGGAUGUGUGGAGCACUUGCACUCAGCCCAUCUGUGCAAAAUGGGCAAGGACGGAGGCCGAGGCAAGCCUGAAGUCUUUGUCUUCCGAAGGGCACCACGUCGAUCUUCCCAACGUCGUCAUUACCUCACUUCCUGGUUCGGGGGCUGAAAUUCUCAAACAACUUUUUUUCAACAGUAGUGAUUUUCUCUACAUCAGAGUUCCUACAACCUACAUCGAUAUUCCUGAAACUGAAUUUGAAAUUGACUCAUUUGUGGACGCCUGUGAAUGGAAGGCAUCUGAUAUCCACGGUGUGCAUUUCCGUUUGCUCCGAGGCUGGUUGCAGUCCUUAGUUCAAGACACGAAACUACAUUUGCAAAACAUCCAUCUGCAUGAACCCAGUAGGGGUAAACUGGCCCAAUAUUUUACAGCGAAUAAGGACAAGAAAAGAAAAUUGAAAAGGAGAGAGUCUUUGCCAGAACAAAGAAGUAGAAUGAAAGGCACCUUUGAUAGAGAUGCUGAAUAUAUUAGGGCUUUGAGGAGACACCUGGUCUAUUACCCAACCGCACGUCCUGUGCUCAGCUUAAGCAGCGGGAGCUGGACCUUAAAGCUUCAUUUUUUUCAGGAAGUUUUAGGAGCUUCUAUGAGGGCAUUGUACAUAGUAAGGGACCCUCGGGCAUGGAUUUAUUCAAUGCUGUACAGUAGUAAACCAAGUCUCUACUCUUUGAAAAAUGUACCAGAGCACUUAGCUAAAUUGUUUAAAAUAGAGGGAGGUAAAGGCAAAUGUAACUUAAAUUCAGGCUAUGCUUUCGAAUAUGAAUCGUUGAGGAAAGAAUUAUCAAAAUCCAAGUCAAACGCAGUCUCCCUGUUGUCUCAUUUGUGGCUGGCAAACACAGCAGCAGCCCUGAGAAUAAAUACAGAUUUGCUGCCUACCAGCUACCAGCUGAUCAAGUUUGAAGAUAUUGUACAUUUUCCUCAGAAAACCACUGAAAGGAUUUUUGCCUUUCUUGGAAUACCUUUGUCUCCUGCUAGUUUAAACCAAAUAUUGUUUGCCACCUCCACAAACCUUUUCUAUCUUCCCUACGAAGGGGAGAUAUCACCAACUAAUACUAAUGUUUGGAAACAAAACCUGCCUAGAGAUGAAAUUAAAUUGAUUGAGAACAUCUGCUGGACACUGAUGGAGCGUCUAGGAUAUCCAAAGUUUAUGGACUAAAUGCUGCAGAGGCAUAGAUGAAGUUACGUGAUGGUGGUCGGGGGAGGUAGGAAGAUUUUACAGGUUUUCGUCUAGCCGUCUGCCUCGUCUGUAACUGUGCUGAUCUAUCUUGGAACCUCAAACACUGCUAAAGGCCUUUCAAUUGCUGCUUUGCCCAAGCAUCUCUUCCUUUCAAGAUGGACUACAAAAGUUCCUUAUCUUUUUUAAAGGAUCUUCUAACACAUUUAUCUUGCACCAAAAAAAAAAAAAAAAAAAAAAAAUUGUAUUUUUUUUUUUUUUUAACUGUAUAUAAUGUUCAGUGUUAUCACUGGGGAAAUGGUGAAAGCUCCUAUCAGAACUAUAGGAUUCCUUCUGGAAAAAAUACAGAUGGAAACACAGAAUGAACAUUUUUUUUUUUGAGGUCAGCAGUAGUGAUCUCAAAAGCCUCCUUAAAGUUUUUUACUUAGAAGUAAUAAAGAGUCAGUCUUUGAACA
rnacentral:lncRNA from 12 species